rnacentral:lncRNA from 1 species
GGCUCGGCUUGCUCUCUUCUGCCCUGCCAGGCUGGGGCCCUGGCACUCCCUGCUGCUACGCUCCUCUUCCACAUUUUGCUUUUCUUUGCUUUCUGGCUUUUCCCUGAUGUGGAUGCCACUGGAAAUCUUGCCUACCACCAUGUUCCAGCUACCAUCUGGAACAUCACCAGGGCUCAGAGCGCUGUCACCAGUUGUUGUCCAGCUGUGGGAA